GUGGGUGGAUUUAGCAAAGACCAAGUUUCUAUCCUCUUCAAAUGGCAACCGAGAAAUGCAGUAAUUUCCCUUCAGAUAUGUAUUUUAACAUCGCUGCUGUUGGAUGGUUUUAUCAUUUUCCUAAAGAAGACGUAUUUUCCGGAUGUAAACUGUAAUUACCAUCCGGUUUUAAAGGCUUCAGCCUUCCACUAUGAACAUUUGGUGUGGACUCUUUCUCAAGGGCCGCCCUCCCGCCUCGGGCACCUGCAUCUUCGCCCUCUAUCUACUCACACAUCUACCAGCCACUCUAAGGGCCUCCUGACCACCCUCUGGUCCCUUGUGCUUCUUUGCAGUUGGGGCAUUUCUUCCUCAACCGCACUCCCCUCCACCCCCAACCCCAGCGCUGGCGCAAGAAUCACGCAGGGGUCCCCCGACUCCCGCGGGACCCCCGCCUACUUCCCUCCCGACCCUUCUACAGGGACGUGCGUGGCCAGGUACACACUGGUUUUCCGGGCGCUCCUCCAGGCUUCCUGUGGAUGCGCCAACCCGGGGCCCUUGAGCUGGCAGCUCCUCUCUCCCGCGCCAAGUUCGCGUGGAGCUGGCGCUCUGCGGGUGCGCAGUCUCUGCUGUCCAUCGGUCCCUCCGGCUCCUCGUUCCUUCCUGCCCCAUCUACCCACCAUUCAUGAAAUGGAUGGAAAGACACACAGACACACGCGCGCGGGCGCACACACAGACACACACACGCACACACCCUCUCUACCCUCUCCCGGCCACUUUUACCCACGUCGAGGACUCGCAGUUGCCUGGGAUCCAGGAACCAAAAGCUCAGUGGGAGUCUGGAGGUUGGGUCUGGACGCGGGGAGCCCUGCUGGCCUCCGGGGUCGCCUCACGGCCCCUCUGCCACGUGACGGGCAGGAGCCCCCCGCCCCGGCCCCCAGCGGCCACCGUGGGGGGCCACCGUGGGGGGGCAGGCGGCCGGGGCGCGGGCACCGCCACCCGCACGCACGCACGCCCCCAGGCGGGAGGCCC
rnacentral:lncRNA from 1 species